CUCGUCGCCACUUGUUAUAUCCUUGGGGGCAGCCGGUUUAGGAAGAAAUCACUUGAGGCCAGAGAGCAGACAGCUAACAAAGGUACCAUUUAUUUACAGACAAGGAGCUCGCCUGACCAGCUCAAGCUGGCUCAGCUAUCCUCUAAUAAUCUAACUCAGUUGCCAUAGGAACAAAAACCAUGACAUCCAAAUACACAACAGCAUUGGAUGAGGUAGCUCCAUCACUAACCCAGAGAGAAGGGAGAAGCUGCCAGCAUCAGAGGGAGAACAUCUUCCCAACCCAGGAAGCAGGGAGAGCCCAGCCCUGCCCAGAGGAAAGGCAGGAUGUUGGAGAAGAGCGAUGGGGAGUCGAGUCUCUGGGCAUCUCCCAGCAAUAGAACCAACAUGAUCAUCCAUGAAGCCUCACAACCAUCCCAGGACACACAAUCUGACCUUGCUGAUCAAGGGAAUUGGAGGAAAGGCAUAUAGCACCUGGCCCAACCAGGACAGAAGGAAGGCAUCGGAGAUCAAGCCCUUGCCCAGGCUCCUCCUGGAGCAAAACUGGGGGCACCUGCAGUGCCCCACGUUUGGAAGAUCAUGUGUGCCACCUCCGGGUGCAGUGGCCACUCGUGCUAGGAGGAGACGUCCCUGCUCAGGCGAUCUGCUCAAGAGUUCCGGAUGCCAAGUAAGUGGUAGACUUCCAAGUCGAUAUUGUGGGUGAUGCAGAAAUCCUACAG